rnacentral:rRNA from 1 species
AGAGUUUGAUCAUGGCUCAGAUUGAACGCUGGCGGCAGGCCUAACACAUGCAAGUCGAGCGGAUGAAGGGAGCUUGCUCCUGGAUUCAGCGGCGGACGGGUGAGUAAUGCCUAGGAAUCUGCCUGGUAGUGGGGGAUAACGUCCGGAAACGGGCGCUAAUACCGCGUACGUCCUGAGGGAGAAAGUGGGGGAUCUUCGGACCUCACGCUAUCAGAUGAGCCUAGGUCGGAUUAGCUAGUUGGUGGGGUAAAGGCCUACCAAGGCGACGAUCCGUAACUGGUCUGAGAGGAUGAUCAGUCACACUGGAACUGAGACACGGUCCAGACUCCUACGGGAGGCAGCAGUGGGGAAUAUUGGACAAUGGGCGAAAGCCUGAUCCAGCCAUGGCCGCGUGUGUGAAGAAGGUCUUCGGAUUGUAAAGCACUUUAAGUUGGGAGGAAGGGCAGUAAGUUAAUACCUUGCUGUUUUGACGUUACCAACAGAAUAAGCACCGGCUAACUUCGUGCCAGCAGCCGCGGUAAUACGAAGGGUGCAAGCGUUAAUCGGAAUUACUGGGCGUAAAGCGCGCGUAGGUGGUUCAGCAAGUUGGAUGUGAAAUCCCCGGGCUCAAC